CUUAGUGCCACCUCUCGCUGUGACCCUGCCGUACACUUUGGGCCUAUAUGGCUGAAUAGGGCUCUGAACCCAGCUCCCUCUGGUGCUGGCAGAUCAUGGGGUCCCUUGAUGCCCACCCCGUUGGCUAAGCCAUGUUUCAGCUCUGUCUCCUGAAACAGGCCAUGAAAGCCAAGAGAGGAGGGAGGUCCCCACUGUGUUACUCUGCCUUGCCCCUACAAAGCUUGGAGCUGGUCCUGACCCGCACUCUCUCACCCAGCACUCAGCACUGCAGGAUCUGCUGCUCUGGAGCGGUGCCGCAUCACACUUGGGCAGCGCUGGAAUGCCCUGCUCAAAGCAACAGUCUGUGCGUCUCAUCCCAGGGGGGAGUCACGCCAGCCUCCAGCUAUGCAGCAUGAUGUGGGCAGAUCCCUGCUAAAAGCCAGGUUUGGAGCCAUGUUAGGACUAGAGGGUUUUCCAUAGCACCCGUCAAGCUAGUAGCAUCAUUAUCCGAACAUCUCCCUGCAUUUAAACAGCUGAGGAGCUUGUCUAUCGUUCGGACCCAGAUCCAUGCUGGCUCUUUAGGGAAAUAAUAAGAAAACAACCCAAACUGCUUGAGGCCUCUUUCUGUGUAGGGUAGAAUGAAUGACAGGGAUUCCUUGGGCUUAGGGG